AACGUAGGAGACAAACGUUAUCCGGAGUUACUGGGCGUAAAGGGCGUGUAGGUGGUUUCGUAAGUCUGGCGUGAAAUUUCCCGGCUUAACCGGGAGUGGUCGUCGGAUACUGCGGGACUAGAGGACGGUAGAGGCGUGUGGAAUUCCGGGUGUAGUGGUGAAAUGCGUAGAUAUCUGGAGGAACACCGGUGGCGAAGGCGGCAUCCUGGACCGGCAUUGACGCUGAGGAGCGAAAGCCAGGGGAGCAAACGGG
rnacentral:rRNA from 1 species